AGGGAUGUAGCUCAGUGGUAGAGGGUUUACUUAGCAUGCACGAGACCCUGGGUUUCAUCCCAGCAUCAUAA
rnacentral:tRNA from 1 species